GUGCAUUCAUGGUGGUACUUAUGAGCCAAGUCCCCAUCACCGAGGCAGCAAACUGCAACUACAUGGAGCUUGUGGUGUGUGCCGGAGCAAUCACAUCCCCUCAGCCACCUUCCGGCGAUUGUUGUAAUAAGGUGAAGGAACAACAACCUUGCUUUUGUGGGUAUCUAAGGAACCCUACACUUCGCCAGUAUGUCACUCCUGAGAAUGCUCGACGAGUUGCUAGAAAGUGUGGUGUUGCGAUUCCUAAUUGCUAGAAGAUGAUUUUGGGUUAUGAUCCUUAAAAUGUUACAAAUCUUAUUUUAUAAUUGCUAUCUUACUAUAUA
rnacentral:lncRNA from 1 species